rnacentral:tRNA from 1 species
AUUCAAAUAUCUUAUAUAAAGUAUAACACUGAAGAUGUUAUUAAGAUAAAUUUAUCUUUGAAUA